AGUGAACGCUGGCGGUAGGCCUAACACAUGCAAGUCGAACGGCAGCACAGUAAGAGCUUGCUCUUACGGGUGGCGAGUGGCGGACGGGUGAGGAAUACAUCGGAAUCUACUUUUUCGUGGGGGAUAACGUAGGGAAACUUACUCUAAUACCGCAUACGACCUACGGGUGAAAGCAGGGGAUCUUCGGACCUUGCGCGAUUGAAUGAGCCGAUGUCGGAUUAGCUAGUUGGCGGGGUAAAGGCCCACCAAGGCGACGAUCCGUAGCUGGUCUGAGAGGAUGAUCAGCCACACUGGAACGGAGACACGGUCCAGACUCCUAAGGGAGGCAGCAGUGGGGAAUAUUGGACAAUGGGCGCAAGCCUGAUCCAGCCAUACCGCGUGGGUGAAGAAGGCCUUCGGGUUGUAAAGACCUUUUGUUGGGAAAGAAAAGCAGCAGGUUAAUACCCCGCUGUUCUGACGGUACCCAAAGAAUAAGCACCGGCUAACUUCGUG
rnacentral:rRNA from 1 species